AUGAGUUAGAAAUAAGAAAUAAGUGGUAAACAAAAACUGAAACACUUUGUCAGACAUAUACAACGUUUUAGCUGACAAUGUAUCCUAAACAUAAUAUUGUCAUGGCUCUACUUUGAUAAAUCUUACUUUGAAAGAAGUCAGUCGUGUUUUACUCCAUCAGCGUGGGUUCACGUUCGUCUCUCCAAAUGUAAAGCAAACUGACCAAAUCUCUGCAAAGAGUUUGUAUCUGUCCUGUUUAGCUUGACAAUUACCCCAACUAGUGGCGACAUGAGUGAAGUGCACAAAAGAAACCAGAAUAAAUGCACUUCUGUUCAACGCUGAACAGAAGUUCAUAAAAGCAAGCUUCACAAGGUUGAAAAUGUUGACUGCUGUUUUUGGAGGAACUAACCAAACACACAAUGAUGUCUGCACAUCCACAUAUUUGUGAGCUGUGAGCAGAUUUUCUGCACAAAUGCAAAAUAAUAACAAAAAAAAAAACACUUGAUUAAUGUAUCCGUUUGUAGAAAAUGCUGAAAAUGUGAGUUUGCUUUUGCUAAUGCUUCCUCCUGCCAGCGACACCUUUCUGCUGAAUCUCACAGCCUGACUUGUUCCCGUAAGUCUCCAAAGUUUUUAUUUGUGUCUCUGCCCGGAAGGCCUGAACGAUCCCUGGCAACUGACUGUGCCUGACGCUUGAGUCCUUUCAUUCCUCUCACUGCUGCUAAAAAUCAGUGAAAGAAACUCCUGUUUCUUCCAACAUUCUGACAAGCUCUUAGCUCAGAGAGCAGGCAUUCAGCUGCCAGCUUCACACUCAGCCUGCAGUCAUGAAGUAUGUGAUCCUGCUGGUGACUUUAAGUGGUAAGUGAUUUUUUUUUCUUUGUUGAUUUUGUUUCCACACACUCAAACUGCUAUUAAGCAAUUCAGCUCUGAAUGAAUUUAGGUUCAUGCAACAUUUAGUAUUUCUGCACCUUGAGCUGUUGCAAAUUAUCUUCAGCCACAUUUAUCUUUUUCUAUUUCACCAGGAAACGCUCAUUGCGAUUAAAAAUCUCUUUUGCGAGAGAAUCCUGGCCAUGACUGGCAGCAGCACGCAGAGGUUUUAUUGGGAUUUUUUGUGUGUGGUUGACCAAAGUUCAGUGGCACAUUCUUAUGUGUGGAAUAAAAGUGGAAGAAAUUCAACACACGGUUUCAAAUUUAGUUUCAAGAAAGAUUUUUUUUUUCUAAAAUAACUCAAACUCAGCAAUAUUUAGAUGGAGUGCAUCUGUUAACAGCAGUUUUCAAGUCUUGCCACCAAUUAGGAUUUAGCUCUGGUCUGUCAUUGGACCAUUCUAGCACCUAGCUUUGCUUUUAUUCAAACCACUCCAUUGUAGAUAUUCAUAUUGUGAUUGUUGUGCUGUUGGUACGUCAAUCUUCAUUCCAGACUGAACUAUUUUGCAGCCUCUUAUAUGUUUUCUUGCAAGAUUCCUCCAUAUUUAGCAUCAUCUAUUUUCCUAUUGAACCAUCUUCCCUGUCCCUGAUUUUUUUGAAGAAAAAAAAAAAGCAUCCUCAAAACAUGUCAACAUGUUUCACAGUGGUAAUGGUAGGUUCAGGGAAAACGCUCUGAUUUCAGUGCUAGUUUCCCAUCACAUGGAGUGAAAUGUUUGUUUUUGAUCGCUCCAUGAAAUAAGCACCUUGUCUGAAGUGGAUUUCUUAUAGCUUUUUUACAGUGAAAGCUUUUUCUCUUUUUUUUUUUUUUUUUUUACCAGCUUUGCAAGUUGCACAGAUAAGCUUUGUCAUGUUAGGUUUCCCUCACCUGAGCUGUGAAUCUCUACAGCUACAAAGUUACCGUAAAGCUUUGGCAUCAUCUCUGAUCAACGCUCAAUUCAUGGUAUGUUUGCAGUUGUGCCAUACUCUUAAUUUUUGGACGCUAAAUUGAACUGUGCUUUGUGAGAUAUUGAAAGAUUGAGAAGUUGUCUCAUAACCUAACCCUGCCUUACAUUUCUCCACAGCUUUAUCCUCAGUACUGUUAUUCUAGUUGUUGACUAAAGUUAUCUUACAAACAUCUUUAAUUAACAACUGGGUUUUACCAAAAGUUGAUGAUAUUGGGAUGGACAGUUGUUUUAAUUAAGUAGGUGACCAGUAGUAAAACAUGCGUUUGGCAUGCCCUUUCUUUUGCCCCGAACAAUUAAAAUGCAAAAAUUAAAUUCUUUGUUAACAUAAUUUGUAGCUGUGCCGCCUUAAAGCAGUAAAGGGAUGACAACUCCCCACUGUCUGCUUAUGCAUUAAACCAACGGGACAGAACUGCCAGAUAUGUGAAUAUUUGUCAAUCUGGUUCUCGCUCGUUUCCUUCCCUAAUGCUGCAUUGGCAACUGACCAUAUUGUCCAUAUCAAAUAUUGCCACAGAUGGUGACUUUUUAUACUUUACUUGAUUUUACUGGAGGAUAUAACAUACAUUUGUAUGUUGUGUUCUGAUUUGCCACUGGGUGGCGAUAACAGCAUCAAACAUUUAUUUUCUUCAGGAGUUGCCAAAUAUCGUCUCUGAUUUCUUUGUUGCAGCACCUACGUUUAUAGACUUAUAUUUUAUUGCAUGGUUUAUUGAAAACAAAUUGGAUACAAAUCUAUCAAACAGAAAAAGGGCCAAAAAUGCCAUUAAAAGCAACUAAAAGCUCAGCUUAUUUAAAACUUUUAGUGAAAUGCGUUAUGCAACAAGUCAAAACAGAACUCUAUGGGAACUUUACUUAUAUUUUAAAUGAGCUUCCUGUUAGAAAACAUAAAAUACAGUUAAAACAAGAGUUCUGACUUUCCACUAACAUAAAACUCAAGGUCUUGGUAGUGAACAUGUACGGUAAAAAACAAACAUCCAAACAGAAAUUAUUUGAGCAAGUGAUGCAUAAAUCCAGCUUUUACACUAUAUGCAUAUCUUUUUUUCUGUUUUGCUCUCUAGGUUCCAGUUUAUUAAACAUCAGCAUUCAUUCAGUCAUAAAGAGUGAGCAUGUGUGACCAUUAAAAUGCUCCAUCAUCGGUUUGUGAAAUGUUAUUUUGUGCUUGAAA